AGACUCUUUGCAGGAAUGAGUGACACUUUUCUAUAUAAAAAUGAAUCCAUACAUUCUAGCUGUGAGCAUAUAAUGUUUAAUAUCUGAAAGUGCUACAGUUAUUCCAACUAUCCCUUUUACAAUUAUUAUGGAGCACAAUCUUUCAUGAUCACUAGCUCCAAUAAAGAGAAAAUUUCAAAUUACUUUCUUUAGGUUUCAUUUUAGAAACAGCCUGCUCUAUUUCAGUAGACAAGUUAAUGCCAUGCUAAAUUUGAAGUACUAAGGAGUUUAAUUCACAACUCAACAUACUUUGCCUGUAUAAAAUUCACUGAUGGUAUAUUGUUUUAUAGUAUUGUUUUUAUAUGAAAACCAUCUUCCGUCUUAAUUAUCUCUUAUGAAAGGCCUGAUUUAGAUUAACAGAUGUGGCAUCUUGGUCCCUUCUUAAACUAUUCUGCUUCAGGUGUAUAAACUACAAUAAAAAUACAUUUUACUAUCACAAACAAACAGGACACAUUGCAAUAUCAUGCACUGUGCAUACUAAACUUAGAAGACUGGAUACAGAACUUCUAUCAACACAGUUCACACUUGCAAAAGAAGCACUCAUCAGUUUGUGUUAUACAUUACAGCUUUAUUUAC